rnacentral:rRNA from 1 species
UACGAAGGGGGCUAGCGUUGCUCGGAAUUACUGGGCGUAAAGCGCACGUAGGCGGCUCUUUAAGUCGGGGGUGAAAUCCUGGAGCUCAACUCCAGAACUGCCUUCGAUACUGAAGAGCUCGAGUCCGGGAGAGGUGAGUGGAACUGCGAGUGUAGAGGUGAAAUUCGUAGAUAUUCGCAAGAACACCGGUGGCGAAGGCGGGUCUCUGGGCCGAUACUGACGCUGAGGAGCGAAAGCGUGGGGAGCGAACAGG